GAAAGGCUGCUGCGUGCAACACAUGUCUGAGUGAAGCAGGAUUCUGAGGGGCCAGCACUUUGUACCCUGGCCGGGCCUUUCCCCUGGCCAUCCUCAAGAGCCCGUCUUCUCAACUUGCCUGGGGAAUUAUCCCCCUUGGCAUUCCCUGGCCUCUCGGGUUCUUGUAGCGAGACCUCUGGGCCCCCCAAGCCUCGGCCCUCACAAUCACAGACCUUUCCUGCUACCUCUAGCCUCCCCAGGAAGGUGUUGCAGCCCAAGCUCCAGCACCAGCAUCCCAAGGAGCUAAAGGCGAGAAAAGCCUGGAGCUUCCCAAAAUCCGGGCUCAUCCCUUUUGAGGAGCGUUGGACUCUGGCUAUCCUUAAAUCCAGCGCCAGAAAACCCAAAUGGCCCAUCCUCCACGAACUGUCCAUGGGAUUUUCAACACUGAAAGGAGCCAUCUCGUCUGACCAUGGAGAAGGUCUUCAAACCAAUUAGUUGUGCGAUGGGUGCGGCGACUUCCAUUCCUCCGUGGAUUCUCCAUGGGACCUCUGCAGCUGAAAGGACCCGUCCAUCCUGAAGAAGGAGAAAGACUUUAGCCUUUGGAAGGAGAGGUCCGCCAUCAUUUGCUACCUUUCUUUACCUGUCUCCCCCAUUUUGUGGUACCCCGGUUGCCGCCCACCGCCCUUCCUCCAUGGAUUGUCCUUGGGACCUCCGGAGCCAAAAGGACGCGGCCCUCCUGAACAAGGAGAAAGACUUUAGCGUAAGCCAUCAAUCUUUUCAUUCCCCUCCUCUUCCGCUUGGGACUUCUCUUGGGGACACCAUUGAGAGCUCAUGGGAAUGAAGUAAUUCCUCCCCCCACAAGGGCACAAAUCCGCAAGCCAGCAGAUGGUCCCAAACCAGGGUACCCGACGGCCCGGCACUGAGGUGCGUGAUGAGUUCUUGGCAGGAAAGGCUGCGUGUGCAACCACGUGUCUGACUGCAUUGCAAGUCUGAGUGGCCGCCCCUUGUAGCCUCCCUGGGCCUCUUCCCCGGGCAAAAUGUGAGGUUUUGAUAUUUUGCCUCUCCUUGGUUCCCCUCCCCAUAACUUUGCAUGGAGAGUCCAGCCGUCAUUUGCCACACUUCCUUUAUUUGUCUGCAUCCAUUUUGUUGUACCAUGGGUGCCGCCCACCACCAUUCCUCCGUGGAUUCUCCUUGGGCUUUCCAGAGCUGAAAGGACCCGUCCCUCCUGAACGAGGAGAAAGGCCUUAGCGUAAGCCGUCAUUCUUGUUAUUCCCCUGCUCUUCCCAUGGUGACUGCCUUCAGGAAAGUGUUACGAACGCAUGGGAAUGAACUAGAUUCUGACCAAAAUGGGGGAAAGUCCCCAAACCCCCAGAUGGUCCUAAGGCAGGGGACCUGGCGGGCUGGCACUGAGGUGCAUGAUGAGUGCCUGGCAGGAAAGGCUGUGGAGUGCAGCCACGUGUCUGACUGUACGUCAGUCUGAGCGGCCGCCCCUUGAACCCUGGCUGGUCCUUUUCCCCGGGCAACAUGUGAGGUUUUGAUAUUUCACCUCUCUUUGG